GAGCUGGGUAUAGGGGCGAAAGACUAAUCGAACCAUCUAGUAGCUGGUUCCUUCCGAAGUUUCCCUCAGGAUAGCUGGCGCUCGUAAUCGAGUUUCAUCCGGUAAAGCGAAUGAUUAGAAGUCUUGGGGACGAAAUGUCCUCAACUUAUUCUCAAACUUUAAAUGGGUGAGAUGCGUGACUUGCUUGAGUGAAGCCGCGCUUCCGAAUCGGAGUGCCUAGUGGGCCAUUUUUGGUAAGCAGAACUGGCGCUGUGGGAUGAACCAAACGUUGAGUUAAAGUGCCCGAGUAGACGUUCAUCAGAUCCCAUGAAAGGUGUUGGUUGCUUAAGACAGCAGGACGGUGGCCAUGGAAGUCGGAAUCCGCUAAGGAGUGUGUAACAACUCACCUGCCGAAGCAACUAGCCCUGAAAAUGGAUGGCGCUAAAACGUCUCACUUAUACUCAACCGUUGCGGCAGAACCGACUUUUACAGUCUCGAAGCCGCGACGAGUAGGAAGGUCGCGGGGGUAGCGCGGAAGGCUCUUGGGAGUGAUCCCAGCUGGAGCUGCCCUCGGUGCAGAUCUUGGUGGUAGUAGCAAAUACUCCAGAGAGGCCCUGGAGGACCGAAGUGGAGAAGGGUUUCGUGUGAACAGCCGUUGAACACGAGUCAGUCGCUCCUAAGGCUUAGGCGAAGGCUUAAUCAAUGUGUGGGAGACUUUUCUUAAUUGCAAAGACCCACUAAUAGCCGAAAGGGAAUCUAGUUCAUAUUCUAGAACUCGGUCGCGGAACCGUUUCGGAACUCGUAUCCGUCGUGGCAACGCGAAACGACUAGGAGACGCCCACCGGAGCUCUGGGAAGAGUUGUCUUUUCUGCAUAAGCCGCCGAGUCCCUGGAAUUAUCUCGCAUAGAGAAAGGGUUUUGGCAGGCCAAGAGUGCCGCAGUUCUCGUGGCAUCCACGAGCGGCCGGUGGGACCUUGAAAAUCCUAGGGAGAUUACGUGUGGAAUCGCACCGACGCGUACCCAUAUCCGCAGCAGGUCUCCAAGGUUAACAGCCUCUGGUCGAUAGAAUAAUGUAGGUAAGGGAAGUCGGCAAAUUGGAUCCGUAACUUCGGGAUAAGGAUUGGCUCUGAGG
rnacentral:rRNA from 1 species